UCUUAUGGAUGAGCAAAGAAAGUGGUUUCUUGAAAUGGGGUCUACUUCUGAUAAAGAUGCUAUGAA
rnacentral:pre_miRNA from 1 species